rnacentral:rRNA from 1 species
GGAGGUUACUGCUAUCGGUGUUCGCCUACCUUUUGCGAGUCAUAUGUUCUUCGUGAACAUGGCGUACUGCUCAGUAACACGUGAAUAACCUGCCCUUGGGACCGGCAUAACCCCGGGAAACUGGGGAUAAUUCCGGAUGCCGCAUAUAUGCUGGAAUGCUUUAUGCGUGAAAUGGAUUCGUCUGCCCAAGGAUGGGUCUGCGGCCUAUCAGGUAGUAGUGGGUGUAAUGUACCUACUACCCUACAACGGGUACGGGUUGUGAAAGCAAAAGCCCGGAAAUGGAUUCUGAAACAUGAAUCCAGGCCCUACGGGGCGCACCAGGCGCGAAAACUUUACAAUGCGGGAAACCGUGAUAAGGGGACACCGAGUGCCAGCAACAUUUGUUGGCUGUCCAGGUGUGUAAACUACACCUGUUAGCAAGGGCCGGGCAAGACCGGUGC